rnacentral:rRNA from 1 species
AUUGAACGCUGGCGGCAGGCUUAACACAUGCAAGUCGAGCGAGCGGCGGACGGGUGAGUAAUGUCUGGGAAACUGCCUGAUGGAGGGGGAUAACUACUGGAAACGGUAGCUAAUACCGCAUACCAUAUGAUGUGCCCAGAUGGGAUGUGCUAGUGGGGGGGGUAAUGGCUCACCUAGGCGACAAUCCCUGGCUGGUCCGAGAGGAUGACCGGCAACACGGGAACUGAGACACGGCCCGGACUCUUACGGGAGGCGGCAGGGGGGAAUAUUGCACAAGGGGCGCAAGCCUGAUGCAGACAUGCCGCGUGUGUGAAGAGGGCCUUCGGGUUGAAAAGCACGUUCAGCGAGGAGGCGUUACUCGCAGAAGAAGCACCGGCUAACUCCGUGCCAGCAGCCGCGGUAAUAC